rnacentral:ribozyme from 14 species
UCCAGAGAUUGGAAGAAAGCCAUCAACAAGAUAUACCAGUAGUAGUGAGAGAAUGCAACGAACAAAAGAUAAUCCCUCCAUCGUUGAUUGUUUAUCUUUCUCGGGUUUUUUCUUCUAUUUUAUUUUGUGGGCUGUUACCUCAUUCUAUUAUUUGC